CCUACGGGAGGCAGCAGUAGGGAAUCUUUCACAAUGGGCGAAAGCCUGAUGGAGCAACGCCGCGUGCAGGAUGAAGGCCUUCGGGUUGUAAACUGCUUUUAUAAGCGAGAAAUAUGAUGGUAACUUAUGAAUAAGGAUCGGCUAACUACGUGCCAGCAGCCGCGGUCAUACGUAGGCUCCGAGCAUUAUCCGGAGUGACUGGGUGUAAAGAGUGGCGUUGGGGGGAUAAGAAGGAGCGAGGGAAAUCCGGUGGUUCAACCAAUCAGACUAUUAGCUAAACUGUUAAGCUCGAGACCGUUAGGGGUAAGUGGAAUGUCUGGUGUAGGAGUGAAAUGCGUAGAUAUUAGAAGGAACACCAAUAGCGUAGGCAGGUUACUGGAACGGUACUGACACUAAGGCACGAAAGCGUAGGGAGCAAACGGGAUUAGAUACCCGUGUAGUC
rnacentral:rRNA from 1 species